GAAGUGUGAUGUUAGCUAAUUAUAGAAUGAUCAACAUAUUGGUUUAUUGUGUUUGUCUCUUUCCAUGUUUUAUACUGUCUGUUGCAGAAACAACAUCCGAUAAUGUAACUAUUGGUGGUAGAGAAACAAUGAUUGUUGAUGGAGUUGACGAUCUAGCUAUUGUUGGUGGAGUGUUGGGGACAGUUAUAGUCAUCUGUAUUGUCAUCAUAGUUAUAUUAGUAGUAUACUUCAACAGUGUACUCAAAACACUAAAUAGGAGGUUGUCGAAACUGAAUUCAGAGUUACACCAACAUGAUCACCAAUAUGACUCGGCACCAACCAGAUUUAGAGAUGAAUCACCGACCGUGUACAAUUCUUUAAAUACACGACAACAGAAUACAGCCAAUGGACAAACACACAGUUUGAACAACAGCCAACAUUCAACUAUAGAAACUGAAGAUGCCCAAAUCAACCAGCAUUAUGAACACCCGUAUGACGCGGCACCAAGAGGAACAACAGAUCAAGAAACUGUUGUUUAUGAUUCUUUAAAUACACGAGAACAAACUGGUUAUUAUAAUAUGGGUAAUAUUAACACACCACGCGAAUAAUCUCGUCAGUUUCGGCGAGAAGGCUUUUGGGGUAGCUGCCCCCAAACUAUGGAAUAAACUUCCUCAUUCCAUUCGGUCAUGCACUUCUCUGUCAUCAUUUAAGAUUUCUCUAAAAACGCACUUGUUUAAUAGGGCUUUUAAUUAAUCAUCUCUGUGAUAACUAUAUUUAUAUUUUAUGCAAUACUUCCUUUUACUCAACUUUUAUGUAUAUU